AGUGAACGCUGGCGGCGUGCCUAAUACAUGCAAGUCGAACGAAGUGGCGCACGGGUGAGUAAUAUAUAGUUAAUCUGCCCUACACAGAGGAACAACAGUUGGAAACGACUGCUAAUACCUCAUAGUGUAGGAUGAGACUAUAUCGUAUCAGCUAGUGGGGAAGGUAAUGGCUUACCAAGGCUAUGACGCGUAACUGGUCUGAGAGGAUGAUCAGUCACAUUGAAGCUGAGCAGCAGUGCAAACUCCUACGGGAGGCGGCAAUAAGGGAUAUUGCGCAGUGGGGGAGACCCUGACGCAGUAACGCCGCGAGGAGAAUGACACUUUUCGGGGCGUAAACUCCUUUUAUAAGGAAAGCGGUACCUGAUGAAUAGGCACCGGCUAACUCCGUGCCAGCAGCCGCGGUAAUA
rnacentral:rRNA from 1 species